UACGGAGGGUGCGAGCGUUAAUCGGAAUUACUGGGCGUAAAGCGUGCGCAGGCGGUCCGUUAAGACAGAUGUGAAAUCCCCGGGCUUAACCUGGGAACUGCAUUUGUGACUGGCGGACUCGAGUAUGGCAGAGGGGGGUAGAAUUCCACGUGUAGCAGUGAAAUGCGUAGAGAUGUGGAGGAAUACCGAUGGCGAAGGCAGCCCCCUGGGCCCAAUACUGACGCUCAUGC
rnacentral:rRNA from 1 species